UAGACUGGGCAGCCGGUUUGGGAACCGGCUGCACCUACGAGAGUUUCGACAUCAGUAGUGAAGAUACCAGAAGCAAUGCAAAACAAGCGAUCAGGGACUGAACACACAGGGCAAGGUGAGGUCAGAGACUCGGGGAGAUGGUCCACCCCCAUCAGCCAGAUGCUCAUACUCAGUCCUUAGUAGGAGCCGGCUAUCUAGUCAACCUGGAAAUCUUUAGUUUCUGCUGAAUCCUGGAACCAGUUACCCACUUGGCCAGUGGGAGGCCUCCCCUCAGAGUACCUGGUCAUGUUAGGAGUGCAGAAAGGAUAUUUAUUUAAGUCUUGUGUUUUUUUUUUUAUUUGAGAGAGACAGAGGCAGCACAAGUUGGGGGAGCGGCAGAGAGAGAGAAAGAGAUAGGGGGAGGGAGAGAGAGAGAAUCCCAAACAGGCUCUCCACCACCAGCACGUAGCCCGACUCAGUGCUCGAACUCAUAAAACUGAGAUCACGACCUGACCCGAAACUAAGAGUCGGAUGCUUCACCGACUGAGCUACCCAGGCACCUCCAGAAAGGAUAUUGAAAGAAACCAUCCAAGCUGGUUCUUAGGAGCAUUGCGUUUCUCACUAAGCCAUUUGAACAACACAUGUCUACUUAGGGGAUUCAUCUGUUCAUAGUAUUGUGUUCCUUUAGUACAUUCCGAUGGUUCACCAAUGUUUUUAAGUUGCCUUAUCUAUUGAGGAGAAUGUGUCUCUACCUAGGAAGUGGAAACUCUUAGCAAACAAACAAAACAGUAAAAGGAGAGAGAUACCUCCACACCAUUCAUAAAUGACACCCUCUCCAUCCUUAUUCAAAAGAAAUAGGAAAUAGGAAAUCUAAAAUGAAAACAAUAACAAAAAAGCACCAUGUACUUGAAAGGAAUGAAGUACUUAAGUGAACACCGAGUUUACAUCUGAAUUUCCUAGCAGCCACGCUAAAGAGGGAGAUGCAUUGGGUUCUUUAGUUCUGAUAUCCUGACAGAAAAGCACACACCUGGAUCUGGAGAGACGCUUUCCUGACCUGCAUACAGGUGGAUGCAGCAGGUGGAUGUGCUGCUCCUAAGCAAACAGUUAAGUCAAGAUGCUCCUUGAUGCUCCAAAAGUCACCAAUUAGUACAAGAAGAGAUCCUUGCUUUCUGCCUCCAAAUAAAUGAAUUGGAGGGGGCGGGCUUGUACCGUUUCUGCUUAGCUGUGAUUUCUGUGUGGGACGAAUUGCCCCUUCGGGAGUUCUUGAGAAACAUGGCCAGCGGUCAGGAGAAACCUGCGAGGUGGUCCCAAGAGUGUUCGGGCCAUAGUCAUUGUUAGCCAGUGGUCUAGAGAGGCCUUCCACCGUGGGGCUCGGCUUCCGGACAAAGGCGCAUGCCAUCUAGUGGUGAGUACCCCUAAAUGACUAGCACCCAGAUCCUUCAGGGUCUCCAAGCCCCUGCAGAUGCGCCUGAGAGAUCUAUUAGAGCAGGUCCGGUGGAGUCCCAGUCGACCGAGGGAAGCUUCAGCUGCGUUCUCUGCCCCUUAAUGGUUUAGUGAAGAUACAUUAUUACCCUCUGAGUUGUUACGGAGUCUGUAUGAAGUAGAAAGUAUUUAAUCAAAAUCAGUGGGAUGUUGGUUUCAUCCUCGGAGCCACGUAUGACCCUUACUGGAAAGAGCAGGUGCACUGCUCUUCCUCUUUCCCGUGCAGCCCCACGAAUCUCAUUCCUUCCUUCCUCUAUGUCAGCAACGUGGAGCUCUCUCCUGCCUAGUUCGCUUACCCUUUCCCUUCUCUGUGCCUUACUGCUGUUAGGACACCCGAGCCACCGCAGUGGACCGCUUUCCUGCUUUCGUUCCGCUCUCGCAAUGAAAACCACGGCACUUACGGCGCACCGAUUAUGGGCAAAGCCUGGGCAGGAGUUCUGCCGGCAAGGAAUUCACAGUGUGGGGGCAAUGAGACACAGGCCUAACGAAUUGAGCUUCAAGGCAGAAGUACUAAAUGCCUUAAGAGGCCUGCGGUCCUUCCGGAAGGACCCAGAGGGGUUCCGUGAAGGAGGCUGUGUUCUAGAAGCCGGGCCCCCCUUACCGGUGUGCUGGGGGUAGGGUGUCGCUGACCUAAGCCGCCUGCCGGAGGACGUGGCCAGCCAGAGAUCGCCAGCGGCUCGGUUCACCUCGUGGGCUGGGAAAGUAGCGUCAGUUCCCACGCGCGUCCAGAUGGAGAGACCGCAGGAGAAAUGAUGUGUCCAUACAUUAUUGGAAGACAGAUGAAAUCUGGCAAGGUGCCCAGCAGG